UCCGCAGUAGCUCAGUGGUAGAGCUAUCGGCUGUUAACCGAUCGGUCGUAGGUUCGAGUCCUAUCUGCGGAGCCA
rnacentral:tRNA from 2 species